UCAUCAUCACCAUCACCCAAUUUAGUCUUUCGGGCGAUGUACGCGUACCCGGGAGACAGGUUACUCCCGGUGGUUUGAAUCUCAUACUAACAAGAUUACCAACCCUCGGGAGACCAACAUCUCUCGAGGGUUUUUGCUU
rfam:Vibrio sp. C7 DNA, contig: contig00002, strain: JCM 19233.